ensembl:lncRNA
CUGAAAGAGUAGCCUUUUCUGGAAUACUCUUGGUCAUCAUGAAAAACAAAAAUAUAUAUAUUUUACUAAUUAUACACAGGCACUUAAAGCUUUUUUGAAGUGAUACUCAUAAUUUACACUCACAUUUUACUGAUCAAAGCAUGAAGCCUCCCAUGUUCAACAUUAUCUGGAUAUGCAGUCAACUGGAAGGAGGCACAAGGCAGAGGAACCACUGACUAGGAAUGAACACUCAUCCAAUCUACCACGGGGACAAGGGAAAUUUAGAGCACUUGACAAUUAUUAGUUAGAGCACUUCACAAUUAUUCUCCAUGGGAACUGCUAGCUAAUAGUUUUUGAGCACACAUUAUAUGCCAGACCUUAUGCUAACAUUUUACAGACAUUACUUUAUGUAAUCUUCACAACAUUUCUAUGGUGUAAACACUUUAUUACACUCAUAUUACAGACAAUAAAACCAUGAGUGUAAGUAACAUGUAAAAAGUUCCUCAACAAAUUAAUGGCAGAGAGAGAACUCAAGUCUCGGGCUACCUGUUUCAUAGUAACACUCUGUUCUUGAAAGGAUAAAGAUACCCAAUUCUUUGAGUCUUUGUGAAUAAAAAUCAAAAAACAAAAAACAAAACAAAACAAAAAAGAUAACAGAGUAAAUGGAAAGAAAAGAUGUAUUGCAAUAAGAUGAACACAAAGGCAACUGAUUGACUAAGUUCAGAUAGGAAAAGGUCUUUUACUCUCCAGGAACAUUUUGCAUAUAUUAGAGAUCCAGCUCAUUGCUUUCAAGCAAAGAAGCAAAGGAUUAAAGAAAAGAAAUGGAUAAUGGUAUUUAAAAUGCCAGUGGAGUUCUAUGUACUCCGUGGAAGAAGUAGCUACUUUGAGAAAAGAUUGGUUCAGAUCGAAGAACCCCAGACAUGAGCCCCCAAAGGAUCUUGGAACAGCUACAGUAAAGUCAAAGUCUAUACACCAAAGAUAGAAAAAAAUGAGAAAAAUAAGUGGAAAGAAUGAAGCAAAAUGAGAGCCAUGAAAGAUACAAAGAGGUGUAUUUAGAAAGUAGAAGGAUCAAGACAUUGUGUGCCUCAGAAGAAAAGGAAAGUAAGCAGCAGUUGACUAUAUUUUUUAAUUGAGAUUUUCUUAUCUAAUCAGGAUUAUCCAUAUAGGGAAAUGAAUCAGGAACUUGGUUGCCAGACACAGAGAAAUAGAUAAGAUUUUCCUCUAGUUAUAAGCUUGUGCUUUUGGCCUGAUUAGCAGCAGAUUGAAUGACGGCCCUCCUCAAAAGGUAUGUUCAUAUUCCAAUCCCUGAAAAAUGUAAAUGUGACCUUGUUUAGAAAAAAUGGUCUUUGCAGAUAUAAUUAAGUUAAAGAUUUUGAGACGGAGCAAUUCAGCAGAGGAGAAGAUAUGAAACAGAGGAGAAGAAUCCCAUGUGAAGAAGGGGCCAAAGAUUGGAGUUAUACAGGCACAAGUCAAAAGGCUGAAGCCAUCAGAAUCUGGAAGAGGUAAGGAAGGAUCCUACUCUAUGACCUUCAAAGGGAGGAUGACUUUGCUGACACCUUGAUUUUGGACUUCUGGCCUCGAGAACUGUAAUAUAAAAAAUUUCUGUUGUUUUAAGCUAUCAAGUUUAUUGCUAUUUGUUAAGAGAGCAGUAGGAAACUAACGAUAUAUAUAUUCCUUCGUUAGUGACAGUUACGAAGUAAGAAAACAAGAGAAU